rnacentral:tRNA from 1 species
GGAAUUAUAGCUCAGUGGUAAAGGAUAUGCUUAGCACACAUGAGGUCCUGAGUUCAAUCCGCAGUACCUCCA